GAUGAACGCUGGCGGCGUGCCUAAUACAUGCAAGUCGAGCGAACGGACGAGAAGCUUGCUUCUCUGAUGUUAGCGGCGGACGGGUGAGUAACACGUGGAUAACCUACCUAUAAGACUGGGAUAACUUCGGGAAACCGGAGCUAAUACCGGAUAAUAUUUUGAACCGCAUGGUUCAAAAGUGAAAGACGGUCUUGCUGUCACUUAUAGAUGGAUCCGCGCUGCAUUAGCUAGUUGGUAAGGUAACGGCUUACCAAGGCAACGAUGCCUAGCCGACCUGAGAGGGUGAUCGGCCACACGGGAACUGAGACACGGUCCAGACUCCUACGGGAGGCAGCAGUAGGGAAUCUUCCGCAAUGGGCGAAAGCCUGACGGAGCAACGCCGCGUGAGUGAUGAAGGUCUUCGGAUCGUAAAACUCUGUUAUUAGGGAAGAACAUAUGUGUAAGUAACUGUGCACAUCUUGACGGUACCUAAUCAGAAAGCCACGGCUAACUACGUG
rnacentral:rRNA from 1 species